AUAUAAAAACCGCGCGCGUUUUGUUGCAAUCCCGUCAGCCUCCACAACGCUCUUCGUUCAGCAUGGCGACGAAGUACAACAUCGGAGACCCUGUGUGGGCGAAAAUGAAAGGCUUCUCUCCGUGGCCAGGAAAGGUGGCCAAUCCAACGAAGGAGGUGAAACGGCCGGCACUAAAGAAGCCAAUGCAUUGUAUCUUCUUUUUUGGAACCAACAACUAUGCAUGGAUCCAGGAAGACCAGAUCAAGCCAUACGAAACCAGCAAGGAACAGUUUUCGAAGUCCAGCAAGACAGCCAGCUUUAAGGAAGCAUUGGAGGCCAUCGAGGAUUACGUCAAGAAUCUUCCAGAGCAACCGGUCAGAAGCUCUGAUCUGCCCAGCAUUGAUGAGGAGAUUUCCACAAUAUUCCCUAAUGGUUCUGUGAGCCCCAUAGCGAACACACCAACCAAGGGCCCGCCACCUGCAAGAGUGGCUGCCUCCGAAGAUGAGGUAGAAGAGGCACCAGCAACCCCUACUGUGACACCAGUGAAGACGCCCAAGACACCAAAGGAACCAGCUACAACUGACAAAGAGCCAAAGCGGAGAAAAAGAGAGUCGCAGGACCAGUCACAUCGGGCAUCCAAGCGAACCUCUUCUGAAAGCAGCAGCACAAGCUCGGCACCCACAAAAAGAAACAAAGCAGCAGCGGCUGAAAAGACUUCCUCGGUGGCAGCUGCAACACCAAAUAACAAUGCAGCUGGCCUCAACAGUGUGUCAAAUGCCACUUCAUCGUCAUCCAAGUCCAGCUCCAACCUUCUGAGGCAGUCUUACGUCACAAGGCCUGUGACGCCACCCCUGGAUGUGGAGAGGAUAUCAGACGUCUUGCGGUCAAAACAUGUCAGCCCAUCGAACCUCAAGUUUGGGUUUCUGGGAUUGGGCAACAUGGGCCAGGGAAUGGUCAAGAACCUCAUCAACUCGGGUCACCACAUCACUGUGUGGAACAGGACGCCUUCCAAGUGCCGAGACUUUGUAAAGGCGGGUGCUUUCAAGGGUUUAACUCCUGCUGAUGUCGUCGCAGCAUCUGACAUCACGUUCUGCUGUGUCUCCAAUUCUCAUGCAGCCAAGGAGAUGGUGUUCGGCAACUGUGGUGUUUUGCACGAGAUUAAAGACAACAAGGGCUAUGUAGAGAUGACAUCCAUAGACCCUGACACAUCGCAGGACAUAUCAGAGGCUAUCAUGCUCAGAGGUGGGCGGUACUUGGAAGCACCUGUGUCGGGCUCAAAAAAGCCUGCAGAGGAUGGCACCCUCAUCAUCCUGGCUGCCGGUGACCGGGCACUCUUCAAUGACUGUGCCAGCUGCUUCGAGGCUAUUGGCAGGCAUGCAUUUUACUUGGGGGAGGUGGGCAAUGGCUCCAAGAUGAGCCUUAUCCUCAACAUGCUGCUGGGGACGACAUUAGCUGGUCUGGCAGAAGCAAUGGCUCUUUGCGACCGAGCUGAGCUGUCCCAGAAGGACCUACUCGAGAUACUUGAACUGGGCGACCUCAACUCAGCAGUCAUAAGUCAGAAAGGCCAAGCCAUUAUUGAAGGCACCUUUGCAACCAACAUGCCCCUGCAGCACCUUCAAAAGGACCUUUGCCUUGCCAUUGGCAUUGGUGACCAGUUGGAACAGCCUUUACCAGUCACAGCGGCAGCAAAUGAGGUAUUCAAGCAUGCCAAAAAGCACGGCUACGCGGAACAUGAUGCCUCGGCAGUGUACAUCCGAACUCGACUCUGAAGCCACCAGGAGGCUGCCAACUGAGGAGAGAGACAAGGGCGGGGAGUGCAAGACGAACACACAGCUGCAUGUUCUACCAGAGCAAAAGCCCUGAGCCGCAAUUCAUAACAUGGGGGGGAUGCAGGGUCAUCCCAUUUUCCGGCUCUUCCGGCCCACAAAAUGGGGGCUGGCGUCUGCAAUGUGCUGGACCCAGUGCUGACUGCACUAUCUCCGAGGCUGGUCCACAUUUUUCGUCGAGUAAAGCCACACUUUCGUUCGCCAUGGUGGUGUGGCGCUACCAAGCCUGAGGGUGCUGGAUUGAAUCUCGUGCGCGGUUGCCACAUUUCGAUGGGAGUGAAAUGUAGAAACACCUGCGUAUCGUGCAUUGGACGCACAUCAAAGAACCCCAGGUGGUCAAAAUUGAUCCAAAGUUUCUCACUACGGCAUGCCUCGUAUUC
rnacentral:misc_RNA from 1 species